AGGCGAUGCCGCCCUCGAGGAAACUCUUGAAACCCAUGGGAGCCGAGAGAGGAGAGAGAGAAAAGAAAAAGGAAAGAAGAGAGAGGAGAAGGAGAGAGAAAGUCACCAAUCCGAGUUGGGGUUCAUCUCAGAAGAGACGAAGAGGUGGGAGUGGAGGGAGAAGGCGAUGGAGGAGGAGUGGGGGACGGAUGUCCUCUGAGACAUUCAAUUUCAAUGCUUUGU
rnacentral:misc_RNA from 1 species